rnacentral:rRNA from 1 species
GUGGGGAAUCUUGCGCAAUGGGCGAAAGCCUGACGCAGCCAUGCCGCGUGAAUGAUGAAGGUCUUAGGAUUGUAAAAUUCUUUCACCGGGGACGAUAAUGACGGUACCCGGAGAAGAAGCCCCGGCUAACUUCGUGCCAGCAGCCGCGGUAAUACGAAGGGGGCUAGCGUUGCUCGGAAUUACUGGGCGUAAAGGGCGCGUAGGCGGACAGUUUAGUCAGAGGUGAAAGCCCAGGGCUCAACCUUGGAAUUGCCUUUGAUACUGGCUGUCUUGGGUACGGGAGAGGUGAGUGGAACUCCGAGUGUAGAGGUCAAAUUCGUAGAUAUUCGGAAGAACACCAGUGGCGAAGGCGACUCACUGGCCCGUUACUGACGCUGAGGCGCGAAAGCGUGGGGAGCAAACAGGAUUAGAAACCCCAGUAGUUC